UUGGAGUCUGGCAUGUCUUCUC
rnacentral:siRNA from 1 species